GGACCCCCACUAGGGGCUCUGGGGUGGAUGGCGGCUGACGUAGGUGUCUGUGCGGGGCCGUGGAGGCUCGAGGCCUUAGUGACUGGAAUGGGGGGUCUCUGGAUGGUGCGUGACGGGCAGGUUACGGCUCAUCGCUUAGAACGCUUAUAAAGGACUCCGGUAGGGGAAGUCUGGGGCUUUGGAGAGAGAUGAAUAUUAACGUUUGUCCUGGUGACAAGGCGGGAGGCACGGAGUGGCCAUCAUCCUCUAAGUGGCUUCUCUAAUCUGCCAUGAUAUGCAUCCAUGUGUUGGUCACUGCAUUUAGCUUUCUUGAACAUUCUAAGGGCACUAGAUGUCUUCCAGAGGGGGUGGAGAACUGAGGAGAUGAGCACCAUGACAUGCACGUGAAGGUCAGAGGACAAUAUUUCCAGAAUUAAGAUAAAUUAUUGGUGGGGGCUGGAGAGAUGACCCAGUGGUUAAGAGCACUGAUUGCUCAUGCAUAGGACCUGGAAGAAGGAGAAUUGAAGGUCAGCCCAGGCUAUAUAGUAAGUCCCUACUUCAAAACAGACAAAAUCUUCUGCUUGGGUUGAGGGUUGGGGGUAGGGGUUUGGCACACACCUCUAAUCCCAGCACUUAGGAGGCAGAGACAGGCAGAUCUCUGAGAGUUAAAACCAGCCUGUC